rnacentral:lncRNA from 1 species
AACACGUGGAUGGGGGCUCUGGAGUUUGGGCAUUCAGCAAAGGCAAAAGUGUGAAUCCAGGCUGAGUUAAGGAUGGCUUGUGUACUUGAAGGCAUGUCUGCUUAUUGCUUUCCUUUUAAUAUAUUGAUUUUUAUUUGAACCCUUUUCUCAUCCACAGCUCUAUGUGAGUUUUUGUAGCGCAAGAUGUUGCCUAGCGCUAUGAAUGUAGCCGUAUUUGCAUAAAGGAUAAAUCUGUUAAACAAGGAGGGAAUCAUUUAUUUGGAUGAAAAACACCUUUCCAAACUGUCUCAAAGGUACCGCAAUGAGGGGUUGUGACUGGCUUUCAUCCUUUAGCAGGUUGGGGAUUCUCACAGGAGUCUGCUUUUUACCUGUGCUUGAGGCUGUCCUUGGUCGAUUUUUGAAGUCUCAGGGAAGAAUAAUUGAAGAUACAGGUGAUUACAUGACUUCUUGCAAAAACAGAAUUAAAAAGAAAUUGUAUCCACAUGUCUGCUCUAUUUGGAAGUCCCCUAGGAGCAUGUGAGAAGUGGCAAGUAAGUACUGCAGCAGUAAAGUGUUACGAGAAGGGAACCGUGCAUCGUAAUUCUCAUGUGCCCCUGACAGACAAGUUUUGGAGAUCAAGAAAAUGUAAUUUUGGUCUCCGGUUGUGCAAAUUUCCAAAAUGAGACUCUAAGGAAGAGUAGGUUAUCUUGUUUGAAGAAACACCAAAAGAGUUUAACGCUCAGAGGACAAAAGCAGUGCUUACAACAAAUUCACUUCUGUGUGUUUGAGGGAAAUGUGAGACGAGUACCAGGUGGAUUUAAUUAUUUAUUUACUGUGAAUUGACUGAAGUUUAGGAUUAAAUUUUUGAAUGGUUAUGUUUUUAAUUGAAGCCCAGUAAUGUGGUUUGCUUCUGUGCCUCUGCUUGCUUUGAAAGGUAUGGAGAGAAAGCACCUUUUGUUGUUAAUCAGGCUACUUGUGGCAAAACAGAAUAAUGGUUAACUUAAAACUCAGACAAAUUUUCAAUAAUGUGUUUUCAAACAAAAAUUUCUAUCUGGGAUCAUGUUGUUUUUUUUUUUUUUUAAUUUUGAGUAAGUGUAGGAUUAGUUACUAGUUCAUAGAGGCUUCAAAGGAGGUGGUAAAACUAACAAGGCACUCUUCUUCCCCAUUUUCCUGUGGGAGUGUGACAUAGCAUGAUUGUUCUGCCGUUCAGCUUCAGAAUAGCUAAUUUAACUGGAUUUUGCUGUAUGUUUAGAAAACUAUUUUUUACAAGUGCGCAGGUGAAAGAGCACAAGAAACCGUGUACUGUACUGACAUCCAGUAAUCCAGAU